GGUGGACGGUGUGCGUGGGAUCAGUCCAUGUUAUGUGUUGAUGCCAGACUGUGUUUUGCAGUUUGUGCAGCAGCGCUCACUCCACACCUGCAACCAUAGAACACGAGGAGAUCAUAGUACUGGUCCUUGUUGGUCAUCUGUGGCUACUUACCAUCGGCCAGCCUCCAAACUCUCCAACACGC